GGGGAAUAUUGCGCAAUGGGGGGAACCCUGACGCAGCAACGCCGCGUGGAGGACGAAGGCCUUCGGGUCGUAAACUCCUGUCUUCAGGGACGAUAAUGACGGUACCUGAGGAGGAAGCCACGGCUAACUACGUGCCAGCAGCCGCGGUAAUACGUAGGUGGCGAGCGUUGUCCGGAAUUACUGGGCGUAAAGGGUGCGUAGGCGGAAUCUUAAGUCAGAUGUGAAAAUCCAGGGCUCAACUUUGGAAUUGCAUUUGAAACUGAGGUUCUAGAGUGCAGGAGAGGGAAGCGGAAUUCCUAGUGUAGCGGUGAAAUGCGUAGAUAUUAGGAAGAACACCAGUUGCGAAGGCGGCUUUCUGGACUGUAACUGACGCUGAGGCACGAAAGCGUGGGGAGCAAAC
rnacentral:rRNA from 1 species